CUGCUUAAUUGCGAUAACGAACGAGGCCUUAACCUCUGAANAGUUUUACCAACCAUCAUUUGGUAGCCAAAACUUCUUAGAGGGACUGUCGGCAUCAAGCCGACGGAAGUUUGAGGCAAUAACAGGUCUGUUAUGCCCUUAGAUGUCCUGGGCCGCACGCGCGCUACACUGAUGAAGUCAACGAGUUUAUAACCUUGGCCGGAAGGUCUGGGUAAUCUUUUGAAACUUCAUCGUGCUGGGGAUAGGGCAUUGCAAUG
rnacentral:rRNA from 1 species